UUAUGUUUUAUUUAUGGUCGAUUUUUGUUAUAAUCAGUAGCUGAAAGGAAAAAAACACAUGCAUCGCUUUAGCCAAUGGGCUGCUGCCUAGUGGCGCAUUGCCCCGCCCACCACUUCCUUCGCGGGGGGCGGGCUUUCCUCUGUCUUUCCGGCUGCGACUCCGAUGCUGAGCGAGCUGUUAAGGAAAAGGGAGACGGAGAUUCAUUGAAAAAAGAGCACAAAAAGCGAUAUAUAAGAGUCAGAGGUCGGAGGCGGCGCCAUUUUGUGUUGCGCUGUCCUCUCGUGAGAUCGGUCAGGUUUUUUUUUCUUUUCCUUGAUUUGUUUUAUUUGUGAUGUGAUGGCGAGCCAAUCCCACAGACGAACCAGACAACUUCUUCCCGUGCUGCCCUGCACAGUGCGGUAGGCCAGCUGCGACAAGGAUCUCUGCCACACCAUUCUGCACCUGCUGUCCUCUUUCACACACCCACACAUACACUGACGUUCCCCUGGACUUUUAGACGCUUUAAGGACUUCUACGGACUCAGCACACUCCCACAGGCAGGAGGCGGACCUGGUAUGGACAGAUUGGAAACACCCCUCCAAAAUAAGGUUCUGUUGCAUACAGCUGGUGAGAUCGAAGCAGUGUGAUAUUUGUUAUUGGAAUGGUUUUGUUUUGAACUAAAGCCUAAGUUGUGAAUUUAGAAGGGUGCACCCGGGAAAAUUUUGAAAGUGACUGUGAUUGUAAAAUAAGAUUACUGGUACCGAAGAGAAACUUUUAUUUAAAAUUUAUUUUAUUUGUUACAAUAUAUUUUCUUUAAAAUACACAAGCCGGCAACUUUUCAAAACCAUAACCUGCGUUCGAGUCUCAUUCUUUUCACACCUCCUUCCUGUGGCCGAACCUUCUGGCCCAAAUCAAUUAAGCUUCCUUACCUUAAGUCUUGGAAGGAAAAUCCUGAGGUGAGAUUUCUCUAUAAGUAACUUAGGUGGUUACAAUUGGCGAGCCAGCCAGCCAGGAGGAGAUAUUGUGAACUGCAUGAGACUCAUUUUGUUAAACAUUUCAGAAAUAAACAGUCAAGCCAAAAUCUGGUAAAAUGGAAAUUGUAGUUAAAGAGUCAGUUAAAAUCCCUAACUCAGUAAUCAUAAGUGGACUUACCAACAGUGAACUUGAUGAAGAAGUAGCAACUUACCUUUCAAAACACGGGUCAGUUAACCGCCACAUCUGUAUCGAUGAUCCGCAUUCUGAGUUUCAUCAGCAGAUGAUAGCUGAGUUCAGUCAUGUCAGUGCCAUGAAUACCUUAAAUCCCCUUUUGCCACUUACUGUCCACUGCUCUGCUCAGCCUGAAAUCACAUUUGAAAUUAAGAGUUUAUCUGAGGUGUACGAAGCAAAUGUGCGGAAUGUCACUAGGACAUAUAUGAAACAUCUAUCUGAGAUGGCCAGUCUGAGUGGACACUCGCUGGAGGAUGUGCUCAAAGAGGGGUUAGCCAAUCUAACUGUGUCCUCUCAAUCCUCUCA